GACGAACGCUGGCGGCGUGCCUAAUACAUGCAAGUAGAACGCUGAAGGAGGAGCUUGCUUCUCUGGAUGAGUUGCGAACGGGUGAGUAACGCGUAGGUAACCUGCCUGGUAGCGGGGGAUAACUAUUGGAAACAAUAGCUAAUACCGCAUAAGAGUAGAUGUUGCAUGACAUUUGCUUAAAAGGUGCAAUUGCAUCACUACCAGAUGGACCUGCGUUGUAUUAGCUAGUUGGUGGGGUAACGGCUCACCAAGGCGACGAUACAUAGCCGACCUGAGAGGGUGAUCGGCCACACUGGGACUGAGACACGGCCCAGACUCCUACGGGAGGCAGCAGUAGGGAAUCUUCGGCAAUGGACGGAAGUCUGACCGAGCAACGCCGCGUGAGUGAAGAAGGUUUUCGGAUCGUAAAGCUCUGUUGUAAGAGAAGAACGAGUGUGAGAGUGGAAAGUUCACACUG
rnacentral:rRNA from 1 species